rnacentral:rRNA from 1 species
CGGCGAGUGUAGAGGGAAGAGCCCAAGAUUGAAAGCUGGCGUCUUCGGCGUCCGCAUUGUAAUCUCAAGAAGUGUUUUCCGCUUCGGACCAAGCCUAAGUCCCCUGGAAAGGGGCAUCAUAGAGGGUGAUAAUCCCGUACAUGGCUUGGAGCGCCCGAGGCUUUGUGAUACGCUUUCUAAGAGUCGAGUUGUUUGGGAAUGCAGCUCAAAAUGGGUGGUAAAUGCCAUCUAAGGCUAAAUAUUGGGGAGAGACCGAUAGCGAACAAGUACAGUGAUGGAAAGAUGAAAAGAACUUUGAAAAGAGAGUUAAACAGUACGUGAAAUUGCCAAAAGGGAAGGGUAGGAGGUCAGAGAUGCGGCCUGGGAUUCAGCCUUGCUUUUGCUUGGUGUUUUUCCCAGAUUGCAGGCCAACGUCGGUUUUGGGCACUGGAGAAGGGUAGGAGGAACGUGGCACCCCUCGGGGUGUGUUAUAGCCUCCUACUGGAUACAGCGACCGAGACCGAGGACAGCAGCGUACUCGCAAGAGCGGGCCUUCGGGCACCUUUACGCUUAGGGCGUUGGCAUAAUGGCCCUCUACCACCCGUCUGAAA